CCUAAAGGCCACUUGUAGACUACGAGUUUGAUAGGCUGGGUGUGGAAGGGCUGUAAGGUCUGAAGCUAACCAGUACUAAUCGGCCGUGCGACUUAACAAC
rnacentral:rRNA from 1 species